rnacentral:rRNA from 1 species
GACGAACCGUGCAAACGUUGUUCGGAAUCACUGGGCUUAAAGGGCGCGUAGGCGGGCUGGCCAGUCAGGGGUGAAAGCCCACGGCUCAACCGUGGAAGUGCCUUUGAUACUGCCAGUCUGGAGGGAGGUAGGGGCGUGCGGAACUUUCGGUGGAGCGGUGAAAUGCGUAGAUAUCGGAAGGAACACCGGUGGCGAAAGCGGCGCGCUGGACCUCUACUGACGCUGAGGUACGAAAGCUAGGGGAGCGAAUGGG